rfam:Pontibacillus chungwhensis BH030062 contig18, whole genome shotgun sequence.
AUAUAAGGAAGUUCGACUAAGAUCGUCACAUCCUGUGACAACUUCGAACGACCCCACGUCGUGUGGG